rnacentral:misc_RNA from 1 species
GAUGAAGAACGUAGCGAAAUGCAAUAAGUAAUGUGAAUUGCAGAAUUCAGUGAAUCAUCGAAUCUUUGAACGCACCUUGCACCCUUUGGCAUUCCGAAGGGUAUGCUCGUUUGAGUGUCAUUGUACUCUCACACUCUCCGAUCCUAUGGAUUCGGGGAGCGGUGGACUUGGGUGUUGCUGCCUUUCCCUGUGGCUCACCUCAAAUGCGUCAGUGCACCUCUUGGUUGGACAUAGUACGGCGUGAUAAGUGUCUUCGCCGGCACCUCGCAAGAGGGUGGCCGAUCGGGAGCUCUGCGCUUUCAAACCGUCUUCGGACAAUUUCUGACAUCUUGACCUCAAAUCGAGUAGGACUACCCGCUGAACUUAAGCAUAUCAAUAAGCGGAGGA